AAUUUUAAAGCUUUAAUGCAUCGAGCUUUUAAUUCGAAGACACAGAAUAGUCUGUUUAAAUUA
rnacentral:tRNA from 1 species